CAGUCGCCACGGUAACACGUAGGGGGCGAGCGUUGUCCGAAGUUACUGGGCGUAAAGAGCGCGUAGGCUGGUCUUUAAGUGAGUGGUGAAAGGUUCGGGCUCAACCCGGACACUGCCUUUCAUACUGGGGACCUUGAGUGUGGGAGAGGCGAGUGGAAUGGUCGGUGUAGCGGUGAAAUGCGUAGAUAUCGAUCGGAACACCCAUGGCGAAGGCAGCUCGCUGGCCUAACACUGACGCUGAGGCGCGAAAGCGUGGGGAGCGAACAGGAUUAGAUACCCCAGUAGUCCCUGUCUCUUAUAC
rnacentral:rRNA from 1 species